rnacentral:rRNA from 1 species
AAUGAACGCUGGCGGCAUGGCUAAGACAUGCAAGUCGAACGGACAUAUUGAUUGGGUAACCGAAAGAUAUGUCAGUGGCGAAAGGGUGAGGAAUAGGCAGGUAACGUACCCCGAACUUCAGAAUAGUGUCCCGAAAGGGGCGGUAAUACUGGAUGAUGUCCUCUGUGUAAUGCAGGGGACCAAAGAUUUAUCGGUUUGGGAGCGGCCUGUUUCCUAUCAGCUAGUUGGUGAGGUAAUGGCUCACCAAAGGCGACGACGGGUAGCGGGACUGAGAAGGUUGGCCCGCCACAUCGGGACUGAGACACUGCCCGGACCUCCACGGAGGGCUGCAGUAACGAAUAUUGGGCAAUGGGCGAAAGCCUGACCCAGCAAUGCCGCGUGCAGGAUGAAGCCCCUCGGGGUGUAAACUGCUUUCAGGGAUUAGAAAAGCUUCGGUUGAUCAAUCCCAGAAGAAGUCACGGCUAACUUCGUG